rnacentral:rRNA from 1 species
UAGGGAAUCUUCGGCAAUGGACGAAAGUCUGACCGAGCAACGCCGCGUGAGUGAAGAAGGUUUUCGGAUCGUAAAACUCUGUUGUUAGAGAAGAACAAGGACGUUAGUAACUGAACGACCCCUGACGGUAUCUAACCAGAAAGCCACGGCUAACUACGUGCCAGCAGCCGCGGUAAUACGUAGGUGGCAAGCGUUGUCCGGAUUUCUUGGGCGUAAAGCGAGCGCAGGCGGUUUCUUAAGUCUGAUGUGAAAGCCCCCGGCUCAACCGGGGAGGGUCAUUGGAAACUGGGAGACUUGAGUGCAGAAGAGGAGAGUGGAAUUCCAUGUGUAGCGGUGAAAUGCGUAGAUAUAUGGGGGAACACCAGUGGCGAAGGCGGCUCUCGGGUCUGUAACUGACGCUGAGGCUCGAAAGCGUGGGGAGCAAACAGG